rfam:Myotis lucifugus cont2.56302, whole genome shotgun sequence.
ACACUAACCGGGCAGGGGAGAGGCCAUGAUCACCAAGGUGGUUUUCCCAGGACGAGGCUCAUCCAUGGCACUCCGGAUGUGCUGACCCCUGCGAUUUCCCCACAUGGGGGAAACUCCACUGUGUGCUGUGGUAGUGGGGGACUGCAUUAGCACCCCUAG